rnacentral:tRNA from 1 species
GCGGUGUUGAGCCUGGUGACCGGCUGCAGCUCCUGGCGCGGGCUGAACUCGGUUCCGAUGCCGGGCACGGCC